rnacentral:rRNA from 1 species
CCAAGGAGUCCGACGUGCGCGCGAGUCAUUGGGUCUCGCGAAGCCCACAGGCGCAACGAAAGUGAAACUUGGUGGGAUCCCCGUCCGUCGGACGGGGCGCACCACCGGCCUGUCCCGCUAUCGGGGCUGAGCUAGAGCGCGCACGUUGGUACCCGAAAGAUGGUGAUCUAUGCCUGAGUAGGACGAAGGCAGGGGAAACUCUGGUGGAAGUCCGCAGCGAUUCUGACGUGCAAAUCGAUCGUCGAACUUGGGUAUAGGGGCGAAAGACUAAUCGAACCAUCUAGUAGCUGGUUCCCUCCGAAGUUUCCCGUAGGAUAGCUGGCGCUCGUAUUGACAAUUUUAUCCGGUAAAGCGAAGGAUUAGAGUUUCCGGGGACGGAACGUGCCUCGCGCUAUUCUCAAACUUUAAAUGGGUAAGGUGCCGCGUCUCGCUUGAUUUGGAGCGCGGACGAGAAUGAGAGCGCUUAGUGGGCCACUUUUGUGGGCGCUGUGGGAUGAACCAAACGUUCGGUUAAGGCGCCCAACUCGACGCCGAUACAGAUACCAUGAAAGGUGUUGCGCGAUCCUGACAGCAGGGCGGUGGCCAUGGAAGUUGGAAUCCGCUAAGGAGUGUGUAACAACUCACCUGCCGAAUCGCGCAGCCCUGAAAAUGGAUGGCGCUAGAGCGUCGGGCCGAUACCGGACCGCCGCGGCACUGGUUUUUUUUAAAAAAGCGAAUGAUGCUGCGGCGAGUAGGAGGGUGCGCCGCGGUGAGCGCGGAAGCUCGUGGCGCGAGCCUGAGCGGAGCCGCCGCGGGUGCAGAUCUUGGUGGUAGUAGCAAAUACUCGAAUGGGACCUUCGAGGGCUGAAGUGGAGAAGGGUUCCUCGUGGACAGCACUUGCUGGAGGGUUAGUCGGCCCUAAGAGAUAGGAGAACUCUGAUUGCAUCGGGCCACGGUUUGCGGAAAAACUUUUCCAUUUAUUCGCCGGCCCACUGUAUCUCGAAAGGGAAUCAGGUUCAUAUUCCUGUACCGGUCGCGGCUGAAGGGUUUAUUCAUCGAGUUUAUCUUGCGCGGCAACGCAAUCGAAACCGGAGACGCCGGCGCCAGCCUCGGGAAGAGCCAUCUUUUCUUUGUAAGGGCCCCACCUCCCUGGAAGCGAAUUACUCGGCGAUAGGGAAACGGGAAUAACUUGCCCGAAAAGCAUCGCGCGUCAGCGGUGUCCGUUGUGCUGGCGACGGUCCUUGAAAAUCCGGCGGAGAUAAGAUAAGUUCGCGACCGGCCGUACCGAUAUCCGCAGCA